UUAAGUUCAGCGGGUAGUCCUGCCUGAUUUGAGGUCAGAGGUUCAAGCGUUUGCUACGAGAGCAAGACGUGUUGGAAGCGGUUCAAACACCCUUACUGUGGCCGCCCGCCUACAAGGCCGGCGUCCUCGACGACAAUAACUUAUCACGCCGAGUAGAACCAGGUCAGAAUGGAUCCAGCUAAUGGUUUUAAAGCGAGCCG
rnacentral:misc_RNA from 1 species